rnacentral:rRNA from 1 species
GAUGAACGCUGGCGGCGUGCCUAAUACAUGCAAGUCGAGCGAACAGACGAGGAGCUUGUUCCUCUGACGUUAGCGGCGGACGGGUGAGUAACACGUGGAUAACCUACCUCUUAGACUUGGAUAAUUUCGGGAAACCGGAGCUAAUACCGGAUAAUAUAUUGAACUGCAUGGUUCAAUAGUGAAUGACGCUUUUGCUGUUACUAACAGAUGGUUUCGCGUCGCAUUAGCUAGUUGGUAAGGUAACGGCUUACCAAGGCUACGAUGCGUACCCGACCUGAGAGGAUGAUCGGCCACACUGGAACUGAGACACGGUCCAGACUCCUACGGGAGGCAGCAGUAGGGAAGCUUCCGCAAUGGGCGAAAGCUUGACGGAGCAACACCGCGUGGGUGAUGAAGGUCUUCGGAUCGUAAAACUCUGUUGUUAGGGAAGAAAAAAUGUGUAAGUAACUAUGCACGUCUUGACGGUACCUAAUGAGAAAGCAACGGCUAACUACGUG